rnacentral:tRNA from 1 species
UGGGAAGUCGUCUAAUGGUAAGACUGCGGACUCUGGAUCCGCCUAUCGGGGUUCGACUCCCUGCUUCCCAG